AGAAAAAUAGAAUCCAGAUGACUGAUCUCAUUUUAUAUUUACAACCACAGAUAUCUGAAUGACCUACUAUAUCUCCCUACUUAAUUUAUCUACCAUUCAGAGAUAACUAUUUCACACAUUUUCUCUCCACAAACCUCCCACACUCCUUCCCCAAUCCUUACAUUUAGCUAACAAUCACCCUCUCCCUGUUUCACUGAAGAAAAAAGAAAAAGCAUCAGAAGACAAAACUUACACAGUCCCACUACCACAUCGUUAUGAAUUACAAUCAGCUGUAAAUAACAGACACAAACACACACUCAACAAAAGAAAAAUA